rnacentral:lncRNA from 1 species
AUGACGAAAUUCAAACGUCACCUCUUCAACAUACGGCAACAGUACGCCUACUCCCGUGCACUGCACAACAACAUGGCCAAUGAUGAAUGCCUGAUUCACAUUGAUUUCUCAGAAAACUUAUCUUGUAAAUACCAUAAAGGAAUCCAGUCAACAUACUAUGGUUCAAACCACCAACAAGCCACACUGCACACUGGUGUUAUUUAUUUUGGUGGAAACAAAGAGCCGACCUGCUUCACCUCCAUCUCACCAUCUAGGCACAAGAGUCCUGUUGUGAUAUGGGAACACCUCAAACCUGUACUGGACCAUGUGCAGACCAGCAAUCCUGAAGUGUCUGUUGUGCAUUUUUUUAGCGAUGGGCCCUGUACCCAAUAUAAACAAAAAGGAAACUUUUUCCUUUUUAGCACAGAACUAGAGAAGAGAGGUCUGAGAGGGACCUGGAACUUUUUCGAGUCCAGUCAUGGAAAAGGAGCACCAGAUGGUGUAGGAGCUGCUUUGAAGAGGUCAGCAGACAGGCUCAUUUGCUAUGGCCAAGACAUCACCAAUGCUUAUGAGCUCUUCAAGGCCCUUUCGGAGACAGACACUUCAAUCAAAUUGUAUUUUGUUGAAGGUGAAGCUAUUGAGCAGGCAUUGGAAAGGAUGCCGUCCACAAUACCACCAGUCCCAGGAACCAUGAGCACCCAUCAGGUGGUAACACUCGCUCGUAGGGAGAUAACAUUGCGAGAAGUGAGCUGUAUGUGCUCCACCAUCGGUAAGCUGGAAUGUGAAUGCUGGAACACACACCAUUUCAGCUUUAUCGAAAAAGUGCCAGCCACAGGGCAGAAAGUGGCAGCCACAAGGCAGAAAGCAGCAGCCACGGGGAGUAAACAAAUCAAUUGGGAUGACCCACAGAUCAUAGGGGAGUGGUGUGUGCUAACAUAUGAUAAAACAUUGUAUCCAGGGAUAAUUAUUGCCAUAGAUGACACCGAUGUUCAAGUGAAAUGUAUGCACCACGCCGGAUUAACCAAAAACAGAUUAUUUUGGCCUCUACAAGAGGAUGUGCUGUGGUAUCCACUGGAUGACGUGCUAGAGCUCAUCCCACCUCCUCAGCCCGUGACAGGACGUGAUGCACGCCACAUGCAAAUUCAGAAAGAGAUUUGGGAUCGACUGUCAGACUAA